UCGGGGCCCACUGAACUUAGCCUGUGGAAAAGACAGGUUGUGUAAAGACUCUAUUUCAUUGGCCAGGAUACACAACCUUGGUCUAGAGCUACUCCUAUUCUUUUUUUUUUUAAUUGUUAUUUUUUAUUUUUAAUAGAGUAUAGUGGCAUGUUAUAGUCCACUGCAGCCUCAAAAUCCUGGACUCAAGUGAAUCCCCCACCUCAACCUUGAGGAAAGUCCUGGGGGUCAAAGUAAAAGCAUCAAAGACUAAGUUAGCGGUGGAUGAGCCAAAAGAGGAGGGAGCUAUGAAGAGGAGGAUGGGAAGAGAAACCAAGAUGCAAGAUACUACAGAAGUGCGAUGCAAAUUGCUUAUUACUCAGUGCCCAGCAGGCUCCCUAAACAGUCUUCAAAGCUACAGCUGGCUUGUCAGAUGCUAAAAUCCCUUCUUCCUUGGUGAGUCAUAUGAGACAAAGUAGCAAAUGUUAAGAAGUCAUGUUUGCUCAUUUCUGCUUGCUUAAUUUCUCGAAGCUCCUGACUCUGUGUCUACACACAGCUCUCUGGAAAGAUGCUUAGAAGACAAAACAGGACAUCUCUUGCCUGAGUCACUAUAUUCCUUAAAAGAUAAAUGACCGCAGUGUUUGUCUUUGCCUACACAUAAGAUAACCUCUGACAAGGUCAGUGAUGAUGCCUCUGUAAUCUAUAACCAGUUGUGCUCUUACACCGAAACGUCAAUGUGAUUCUGCUUGAAUGCAACUUCUGAGCAAGUCUCAUGUGACUUUGAACAUAUUGAACCCCCACCGCCUGUAUAUGGGCCAUGGGCUGAGAUACUGUGCCCCAGCAGUCUCAUAGAACUGCUCCUGGGCUACAGGCCUUGGUCUAUAGCCCUCAGUAAGACUUCUGAAUAAAACUAACUUUAAAUCUUUAAAAGCUUUUGUUGUUUUUUUUUUCCAUUGACAGUCAUUUCCAUCCUCAAAGGGAGUUUUAUAUCAGAAUAACUGAGUUGGACAGAAUAACAAAGGCAACUUAGCCACACUGGCUAAGAGCUGGGACUCCUGGGCAAAACUGCUUGGGUUGGAAUCUCAACUCCAUUGUUUAUGAGCUGUGUGACCUUGGGCAAAUUUGCCUCUCUGUGCCUCAGUUUUUUUU
rnacentral:lncRNA from 10 species